rnacentral:rRNA from 1 species
AUGGUAGCGUUAAACGUUUCAAAUCGCACUAUCCCUACAAGACUAAAAUGUGUUGUGCAACACGAACAAGACGAUGAUGACUACCGGAUCCAGACUUCAAUUCGUGAGCUCCAACUUUUGUUUGGGAUAUCCUUCAUGCGAUUUAUUCUGCCAAUGGAUGUGGAUGCGGCCAAUUUCAAGGCCCUACGUUUUUUUAUUGUACUCAGGAGUGAGGUGUUAGUAACGUUGACAUAUCGUAAGGCAAUCCAUGAAACAUGUGUACGUCUGCUUAUAUUGGAGGAGAUCAACAUUGUGUUCACUCAUUAA